CCUACGGGUGGCAGCAGUGAGGAAUAUUGGUCAAUGGACGAGAGUCUGAACCAGCCAAGUAGCGUGAAGGAUGACUGCCCUAUGGGUUGUAAACUUCUUUUAUAUGGGAAUAAAACGUUCCACGUGUGGGAUUUUGUAUGUACCAUAUGAAUAAGGAUCGGCUAACUCCGUGCCAGCAGCCGCGGUAAUACGGAGGAUCCGAGCGUUAUCCGGAUUUAUUGGGUUUAAAGGGAGCGUAGGUGGAAGGUUAAGUCAGUGGUGAAAGUUUGCGGCUCAACCGUAAAAUUGCAGUUGAAACUGGCAGUCUUGAGUGCAGUAGAGGUGGGCGGAAUGCGUGGUGUAGCGGUGAAAUGCUUAGAUAUCACGAAGAACUCCGAUUGCGAAGGCAGUUCACUGGACUGCAACUGACGCUGAGGCUCGAAAGUGUGGGUAUCAAACAGGAUUAGAUACCCUGGUAGUC
rnacentral:rRNA from 1 species